UACAGAGGCCUCGAGCGUUAGGCGGAAUCACUGGGCUUAAAGCGUGUGUAGGCGGACUUCUAAGUACCUUGUGAAAUCCCACGGCUCACCCGUGGAACUGCUCGGUAUACUGGUCGUCUUGAGCCUUCUAGGGGCGAGUGGAACAAAUGGUGGAGCGGUGAAAUGCGUAGAUAUCAAGAGGAACACCCAUGGCGAAGGCAGCUCGCUGGCCUAUAACUGACGCUGAGGCGCGAAAGCUGGGGGAGCAAACAGG
rnacentral:rRNA from 1 species